rnacentral:rRNA from 1 species
UACAACGAAGAGUUUGAUCCUGACUCAGGAUGAACGCUAGCGACAGGCCUAACACAUGCAAGUCGAGGGGCAGCAUUGUAGCUUGCUACAGAUGGCGACCGGCGCACGGGUGAGUAACGCGUAUGCAACCUACCUUAUACUGGGGGAUAGCCCAGAGAAAUCUGGAUUAAUACCGCAUAACAUAUUUGAAUCGCAUGGUUUAAAUAUUAAAACUCCGGUGGUAUAAGAUGGGCAUGCGUAGCAUUAGUUUGUUGGUGAGGUAACGGCUCACCAAGACAAUGAUGCUUAGGGGGUCUGAGAGGAUAGUCCCCCACACUGGUACUGAGACACGGACCAGACUCCUACGGGAGGCAGCAGUGAGGAAUAUUGGUCAAUGGGCGAAAGCCUGAACCAGCCAUGUCGCGUGCAGGAUGACGGCCCUAUGGGUUGUAAACUGUUUUUUUACAGGAAUAAUUGUCGCUACGUGUAGUGAUUUGAAUGUACUGUAUGAAUAAGGAUCGGCUAACUCCGUGCCAGCAGCCGCGGUAAUACGGAGGAUUCGAGCGUUAUCCGGAUUUAUUGGGUUUAAAGGGUCUGUAGGCGGUUCUUUAAGUCAGUGGUGAAAUCCCAGAGCUCAACUCUGGAACUGCCAUUGAAACUGAAGAACUUGGAUAUGGUUGAGGUAGGCGGAAUACGUUAUGUAGCGGUGAAAUGCAUAGAUAUAACGUAGAACACCAAUUGCGAAGGCAGCUUACUAAACCAUUAUUGACGCUGAUGGACGAAAGCGUGGGGAGCGAACAGGAUUAGAUACCCUGGUAGUCCACGCCGUAAACGAUGAUUACUCGUUGUGCACAAUACAUCGUGCGUGACUGAGCGAAAGCAUUAAGUAAUCCACCUGGGGAGUACGUUCGCAAGAAUGAAACUCAAAGGAAUUGACGGGGGCCCGCACAAGCGGAGGAACAUGUGGUUUAAUUCGAUGAUACGCGAGGAACCUUACCUGGACUUAAAUGUAGAUUGACCCUCUUAGAAAUAGGAGUUCUCUUCGGAGCAAUUUACAAGGUGCUGCAUGGUUGUCGUCAGCUCGCGCCGUGAGGUGUCGGGUUAAGUCCCAUAACGAGCGCAACCCCUAUCGUUAGUUGCUAGCAGGUAAUGCUGAGGACUCUAGCGAGACUGCCACCGUAAGGUGAGAGGAAGGUGGGGAUGACGUCAAAUCAGCACGGCCCUUACGUCCAGGGCUACACACGUGUUACAAUGGCCGGUACAAAGGGCAGCUACCUGGUGACAGGAUGCUAAUCUCAAAAGCUGGUCUCAGUUCGGAUCGGAGUCUGCAACUCGACUCCGUGAAGUUGGAUUCGCUAGUAAUCGUAUAUCAGCAAUGAUACGGUGAAUACGUUCCCGGGCCUUGUACACAU